rnacentral:lncRNA from 1 species
GUGAAAUGGCACCAGAAUGUUUCCUUCACAAAUCUAUCCAUUGCUUAUGAUAAAAGGGAGUUUAUAGAACUAAACAGGAGAGGAGACUUUCAAGUGUUGUUGCGUUCAACUUUCCUAUAAUCAGCUUUUCCUCAUGUCUCCUGGAGCCACUGUGCCUUUUCAACUCUCCACUCCGCACCCUGCCACAGCUCAGUGGAGUCCCAGUGCUUGCAAGAUUCACCAUACGGAGGGCAUUCUGCUACCUCUUUGAGCAUCCUCAGAGGCAUGUGAUUAUGAACCACAGAAAAGAAAAGAAAAGGAAAGAAAAGAAAAAAUCUUCAUGAGUCAAUGCAUGUAAAUGUCAAUAUUUUCCAGUUGAAAUUGCCUCAAGGGACCCUUACAUCUUAUAUGGAGUUUGCAAACUCCCUGAGGUUGAAGAGUUUUGAACUUGGAAUCUAGAACAACUAACAUAAUCCUGGGCAUUACUUACUGGACUCAGGAAAUCCUUUGAGAAAACAAAAAUAUAU